UUUGCAUGGUAUCGAGAUGGCGACAUCUUCCCAUUGGAUGUGGACAAUCGAUCGUUGUUCUCUCUCCCAUUUUGAUUGGUAGUGCAAGGCUGUGGGGAGGUAUCAUAACUGUUGCUGGGUGAUGGGGACAUUCCGGAGUGCUGGGUCUGCGUGGAAGCUGUGGCUGUAGAGGAAGAUGCUGGAACAUUGUUGGUACUGUUCCCAUAUGAGCUUCCCCCGUAGCUGGACCUCCUUCCAAACUUAUCACUAUGCUCUUGAUCAAGACGGUCCAAAGUUUCUAAUGCAUGGAGAAUUUCAUGUUUGGUCAUCCCAGUACGCCGAAGACGUUGGAGCAGAUCUAUCUGUUCUAUGCAAAACUGACAAAGAACUCUAAGGUCAUUCAGUGAAGACUGUUUGGCUUGGCUGAGUCUAAGCGAAUGCUAGUAACUAUACAAAUACUUCAGUGGAGGAUAAGAGCAGUACCUACAACACACCAAGCACUGCUUCUACUUCUUACAAGUCUUGAGAGCCUCAUCUCUGCAGCAUGCUCGCUGAAUGGAUCCCUCAUGUGUACAGCCAACUGGAGCUAUUCAUAUCUUGAAAACUGGUUCUACAUGUUUCCACCUUAACUAGCACAAGACACUGUAGCACACCAGAAUGUUUUCUCAGAGAGAAACUUAGUAUUUUAAGACAUUAACCACAUCAUAAAAACACCCCCUCCCUCUUUGAAUUACUUUUUUAUUUAUAAAAGCUGACUUUAAAAAAGA